AUGGGUUCCGGUGGAGCCAGCGAUGAUAAAGGUGGGGACUCGGAGCUGGGACUGAUAGGGGCUAGGAGGUCUGACGGUGUUCAUGGUCAGACACUGACUGAGUCUGGACCAGUGGUUAGAAAGCCUGGAGAAUCACACAAACUGACCUGUACAGCCUCUGGGUUCACAUUCAGUAGCUACUGGAUGGCUUGGAUCAGACAGGCUCCUGGGAAAGGACUGGAGUGGGUGUCCUAUGUCAGCAGUAGUGGUGGCAGCACGUACUACUCCCAGUCUGUUCAGGGUCGGUUCACCAUCUCCAGAGACAACAGCAAGCAGCAGGUGUAUCUCCAGAUGAACAGCUUGAAGACUGAAGACUCUGCUGUUUAUUAUUGUGCCAGAGACACAGUGACACAGGAGGCUGCAGCGCUGUACAAAAACUGA